CCCCUUUCAGGCUGGCACCUGGAGAGUUUCCAGUUCUCUUCUAGUUUCCACUAUGGGAGGGAGAGUCAAGCAGAGGCCUACCUAUUCCAUUCCUAGCUUGGGCAGUGGCUAGCAAGUGGAAGGCAAACUGCUACAAGU